UUUUAUGAUGGGAACUUACACAAUAGAUUCAGCUAUUAUUUUUUAUUUAUUGUUAGAGUGAGUUUUAGACGUGAGAAUUCUUGAUUGUGAAAUUGUACUUAAGAGAAUGAUUUACAAUAUUUUGGUUUUAAUUUGGUGUAUGUUUGGUAAUGAUAUUUUUGUUGUAUGUCUUAAGUUACACUCUUAUGAAUUAUUUUAUUGCUGUUGUAAGUCUGCGAGUCUGGAGUAGUGUUUUUGUUAGAUAUAGAUUAUAGAUUACUGGUGGAAUCUCUUUCCCUCCGCACUAAUUGGUUCUUUUGGGGGCAGGGAUAGUGAAGAAAAAGAUUGCGUUAACAUGUACACCCUACAACGCAAUUCUUUGGCUUUUAGUCUGAUUUUACGGUUGUUAAUGAUGGUGAAAAACACUAGAACUAAAUAUUCUGUUUUGGUGACUGGGUUGAAUAUUAACUGAGAUGAUAGCUAAUGGAUUUCUUUCUAUAUAGUUAUACUGUUGGCCUUCCUGAUUAGUGAUGAUGAGUCAUUGUGCCCCCAUGGUACCUGAGAAGCAGUGUUAUUAAGGGGAGAGGUGAGACUAAGGCAACAGGGUAUCCUAUGGCUUUAGGUGAGGGGCAAGGCUAGGUGAUAGACUUUUUGAAGUGAGGCGCCAUAUCCCACACACACACACACACACACA
rnacentral:misc_RNA from 1 species